UACAGAGGGUGCGAGCGUUAAUCGGAAUUACUGGGCGUAAAGCGCGCGUAGGCGGCUUUGCAAGUCGGGUGUGAAAUCCCCAGGCUUAACCUGGGAACUGCAUCCAAAACUGGCAAGCUGGAGUACGGUAGAGGGUGGUGGAAUUUCCUGUGUAGCGGUGAAAUGCGUAGAUAUAGGAAGGAACACCAGUGGCGAAGGCGACCACCUGGACUGAUACUGACACUGAGGCGCGAAAGCGUGGGGAGCAAACAGG
rnacentral:rRNA from 1 species